rnacentral:rRNA from 1 species
GACGAACGCUGGCGGCGUGCUUAACACAUGCAAGUCGAACGGAAAGGCCCUGCUUUUGUGGGGUGCUCGAGUGGCGAACGGGUGAGUAACACGUGAGUAACCUGCCCUUGACUUUGGGAUAACUUCAGGAAACUGGGGCUAAUACCGGAUAGGAGCUCCUGCUGCAUGGUGGGGGUUGGAAAGUUUCGGCGGUUGGGGAUGGACUCGCGGCUUAUCAGCUUGUUGGUGGGGUAGUGGCUUACCAAGGCUUUGACGGGUAGCCGGCCUGGGAGGGUGACCGGCCACAUUGGGACUGAGAUACGGCCCAGACUCCUACGGGAGGCAGCAGUGGGGAAUAUUGCACAAUGGGCGGAAGCCUGAUGCAGCAACGCCGCGUGCGGGAUGACGGCCUUCGGGUUGUAAACCGCUUUCGACUGUGACGAAGCGUGAGUGACGGUAAUGGGUAAAGAAGCACCGGCUAACUACGUG